ensembl:snoRNA
ACUGCCCCUCCAGGCGUUGGAGGUGUGGCUGCUGUGUCACAUCUGCGUCACUAGGGGGCAGAGAGAAUAGAGGCUAUGUCUACGCUCAGUGUUCCCACCCGUGAAUGCCUGAAUGAUUAGUAGCCUGACACGG